rnacentral:rRNA from 1 species
GUGCAGCAGGCGCGAAACCUCCGCAAUACACGAAAGUGUGACGGGGCCGUCCCGAGUGCCGUCCGCUGAGGACGGCUUUCCCCAGUGUACAUAGCUGGGGGAAUAAGGAGAGGGCAAGCCUGGUGUCAGCCGCCGCGGUAAUACCAGCUCUCCGAGUGGUGGGGACGCUUAUUGGGCCUAAAGCAUCCGUAGCCGGCUAGGCAAGCCCUCCGUUAAAUCCAACGAUUCAAUCGUUGGGCUGCGGGGGAUACUGUCCAGCUUGGGGGCGGGAGGGGCCGACGGUAUUCCCGGGGUAGGGGUGAAAUCCUAUAAUCCCGGGAGGACCACCAGUGGCGAAGGCUGUCGGCUAGAACGCGCCCGACGGUGAGGGAUGAAAGCUGGGGGAGCGAACCGGAUUAGAUACUCGCGUAGU